UGGCUCAGAAGUUAAAGCGUCUGCCUCCAAUGCAGGAGACCCGGGUUCGAUCCCUGG
rfam:Ovis aries breed Texel chromosome 1, whole genome shotgun sequence.